CCCCUAGAUGUUCUGGGCCGCACGCGCGCUACACUGAACAGUUCAACAAGUCUUAACCUUGGCCGAUAGGUCUGGGUAAUCUUUGAACGCUGUUCGUGACUGGGAUAGACCUUUGCAAUUAUGGGUCUUCAACGAGGAAUUCCUAGUAAACGCAAGUCAUCAGCUUGCAUUGAUUACGUCCCUGCCCUUUGUACACACCGCCCGUCGCUCCUACCGAUUGAAUGGUCCGGUGAAAUCUCGGGACGGCGGCUUGGUCGCUUGCGUCCGACUGCUGAAACUUGAUUAAACCAUAUCAUUUAGAGGAAGGUGAAGUCGUANCA
rnacentral:rRNA from 1 species